GGUGCUGUGGCACAGUGGGUUAGAGCCCCAGCCUGCGGCGCUGGCAUCCCAUAUGGGCUCUGGUUCGAGUCCUAGCUGCUCCU
rnacentral:tRNA from 1 species